ACGGAAGAGAGUGGACAGCAAGAGGAGGGAGAAGGAACAAUGGAGGAACUGAGUGGACUAGUUGGAAACAUACCAGUACAACCAAGGUUUACCCUCUCAGUCUGUCGGUCGUUGCAUUCUCAUGUAGUUCAGCUAGUAAAGGAUCAGCUGGGUAAGAGAGGGCUCCAACCAUCAGAUGUUAUACUGAGAACGAACAUCAAGUUCCUAACCAGUGCAGCUGGACUCGCUGAAGUAAGACUCUUUGUCGCCGAAAAGUUUGAACAAUGGGUUCAAAACUCUAAGAUGGUGAAGCAGGUACAAGAGUUGCUCUCUACAGUCGCCAUUAAUUCUCAUCAGAAUACUCCGGAGGAUGUGAGAGUCUUAGAGACGCUCCUUAACGUCAAGCUCAAGACCAGGUUCUUCUCACAGAACUACGUCUCUUGCAUAAAGGAGUUUGUUAGUGUCCACCAAAGUUACAUUAGCAUUGUAUUAAGACGAGUAGUUAACAAUGAGUUAUCUCAGACCGUCCGUCAACCGACCAACAUUCAAGUGUUGACCAGCAUAGUCCAACAGUAUCCUGAAGAAUCCAUGAAAGUAUUAGGUUCUGUAUUUCAGGAUUUUCUUUGUCGCAAGGAAGAUUUCUUGCGCGCUCUGAGAGGGUUUUUACGAGAGCUUGUUAGACGUUGCGAGGGUUUCCCGUUUAGCGUGUUCGCUCGCUCUCUGAUGCAACAAAGAUCGGAACCGGAGUAUAGCGCCUUGGACCAACCUCACAAAGAGCGAAUGGCUACCUCUCUAGCUGAUCUCAUAUCUGUUACUUGUCUCCUCUCAGUCUCUGCUAGUAUAAGAGAGCUCUAUUCCAGUUAUAACAAAGGGGACAAGACUCAUUCUCAGUCUCUGGCUCAGUUCUUUGACACUCUUGGUCUGAUACAGCGUGAUGCUGUCUGGUGGGUCCACUCCAUCCUACCAAACUUCCUCAGACCUCAACCCUCCGACUAUAAAGCCUGUCUACGUAAGGUAUUAUUCCUGGAGCCUCAUGAUUCUUAUUGCGGUAAAGAUAACUGGCCACCAGAGACUGAGAGAGGAGCCAUUCUUCAACUGAUGACAGAGUGCUCACUGAAGGGAGACACUCUCAUGAGAAUACUGGUCAUAGGCCUGGAUAGGGAUUUGCCUCUAUCCCCGAGUGAUGCUCUAGAUAUCACUGAUAAACUGGUUGCUAGAGCAGCCAAUGUUCAUACUAAUGAUAUUCCUCGUGUUCCAUCAUUGGAUAAGAGAGAGCUCUUUGAUGCUAUUUUUGAUAUAACUGCCUAUCGUCCUCCCUCCUCCAUAAUGCUCCCAAAGUCUUACAAACCUCCCGAUCUUGCCAUCUCUAAGUUGUAUUGGAAAGGAUGGCUCCUUCUCCUUGUACUAGCUGCCUUUAAUCCUAAAACAAUUGGUUCAAUAGCUUGGAGUGAGUACCCAAUGCUGCAGGCUAUGAUGAUAAUGGUCAUGACUAAUGAAUAUUCACAUUCACUGACCAUUGCAAAGUCCAACAGAGAAGCAUCAUCAUUACAAGAAGAGAAGAUAGUCCAAGAAGAGAAAGAGGUGAUAUUGACAUACGAGAAUCACCUAGCUGUAUCUUCAUCAUCAACUGAAACUGAAGUGACAGAGUCAAACAGUUACCUCUUGAAUCAAGUGAUGUUGCUUGACCCCAGAGGACCAGCGAGGAAGCUUCCCUCUUCAGCACUAGAGCUUAUAAAGACUGUCAAUGGCUCAUUGAGAUUAGGCCAGUUACUGUGUCAGUGCAGACAGCCUGACUUCCUGCUAGAGAUAAUACAGCAACAGGGCACCAGUAAAGCAAUGUCGUGGUUGAGAGAUCUUAUAGAUGGGAGUCAUUCUUCACUGGAUGUUCUUCCUGUCCCUUGUCUGUGUGAGUUCCUCAUCACUAGCUAUCAGGAGAAGAGGUCCCUCGGUAGUUCUGCUAAGCAUGAUGGCUCUGAUGCUGAUGGAGCUGGAUCUCAUCGGACUCACUUUAAGAGACGACAAAGGACAAAAGAGAAGGUUCAUUAUCAACACGAUCAGAUUAUCGGUCGUUUGAGGUCACUAAUAUUCAGUUCAUCCAAUCCUGAGAGUGUACUGGAUAUACUGGAGUAUUUCAUUAGUAAACUAACAUCAUCAUCUUCCUCGCAGUUAGCACUAAAAUCAUUGCAAGAUAUCCUCCUUCCAAACUCUCCUCCAGGAGGAUCAAUGGACAUUAAAAGUGAAGAGAGGCCCUCCUCUUCGUGGCUUUUAAAUCACAUUCCAUCUCUGAGCGUUUUUCCGACCAUAUCGACCCAACUAGUCUCGUCUGUUCUCAAAGCUUGCUGUCAUGAGCUAAACACGCAUCUCUUCAUGUCUUACCUGCUCUUUAUCACCACUCACUCCCCAAGAGACAACAGGCUCCCGUUAAUAGGUACAGAGCUAGCUGUCCUUCUCUCUAGAAGGUUCCCUUUCUUUAAGAAAGCUUACCAAAGUGCCCAGUCUCCUCUCCAACUCCUCCUCUCUCUCCUGGACCUGUUCCAGAUUACACUGGAAGCAGCUGUGAAACAAGACUUUCAACCGCCUUCAUCUUAUCCUGAAGCUGAUCUUGUAAUCCUCUCCCUCCCUUCUCUCUCAGACGAUUGUGAAAUUGUCGUUGUUACUCAAUUCGUUGAUGCUGUUUUUCUAGUUCUUUCCCUCAUGCCACCAGGCAGCCCAUUGACCAGCCCAGGGGAGUCCCUCUUUAAUGCACUAUUACCAGACAGUGAGCAGGGGAGACCAGCUCAGGCUCUUUCCAUGGGGACCAGAGAGCCACAGCAGCUAGCAAAGGGACACGUACUAGAGACUCUCUUCAUUAAUCCUAACACUGACCUCACGCGUAGACUCAUCAGCACUCUAAAUGAGAAGCAAGUGUGUCACCUACUCUCACUGUAUGGCGUACCAUUAGUUAAUAUGGACCUUGUUCUUUAUACAUUAGAUCAAAUGUGUGAUAAUGAUGACUUUGUUCUAUAUCCUGAUGUUAAAUCUCUACUAGGUCAAGUGAGGAGGCAGCAUAUACGUGGUUGUACUAGCGGACACAAGUUUCUCUCUUACCUAGCGACCAGGCAGCAGAAGCAGCAGCAUCCUAAGUAUUCCUCUACUACUAGUAGUGUCUCUAUCAAUAAGAGGACACAAGAUGAGGAGGUUCCUAUGUCUGUGUGUCCUACUACUGCUACUGUGUCUUUGCUCAGUAUUGAAGAAGCUGUUUCGAUUGUUUUUGAAUCACCAGAUGACCCUAGAUCUGGGCCAGCUGCUCAGAGAUUGGUUUUGUAUCUGUUGUCUUUACUGAGAGAUGAUCAUUAUUUGGAUGCUAAAGGAACAGACUCAUCUGUACUGGGUCUUAUCAUUAACAAAAUGUCCUCCAUUUCUCCGUCUUCUCUCGAUCCUGUCUUCAAGCAGUCAUACUCAUGGAAUCUGUUCCAUUUAAUAGCUCGCUCACUCCUUAAGCUCUCCCCUACUCUCACUAAAGCUUAUCUUGAGUCCUCUCUCUCUAUCAUCAAAGCAACUGGCUCUGGCUCCAAACCCAGACAAAUACUUGGGUCUUGUGUGGCACUCUUAACCCCCCAGCCGCUUAACAUCCCUUCCUUCUCUUUCAACAAAGGCUCUCACGCUAGCAAAUCUCCUGGCAUCGUCAUCCAGCCUGGGCAUGAUUUAGAAGAGACGCUGCUUCCCUUUGCUCGUUAUUCCAUACUCAACGGAUCCCAGGAUCACUUCAUAGACUCCUUAUUGAAGCUAAGGGCUAGGGUACCAUCAGUCAAAGGCCUCCUCUGUGAUAUUGCAGAGCUAAUGGAUCCUGAAUUAGUACUGGUUUCUCCUCUAAUGCAUGUUAGUCUCUUCUCUCAGUCCGAGGAUGUUGUGUAUUUGCUGGAGAAGUUCCUUCAUCAUGUUUCCCUGGCUACACUCCAGGCUACACUAGUCAAGGCAUUGAGCACCCCUCCUGAAAAAGAUGUCAGUUCUUCUUUGUUGUUGAACCUCCUCUGGGCUAGUUUGCACUUGCCUAAUCUCUGGCAGGGGAAAGUAAAGAAAGAAGCAAUCAUAGACAGCAAUUUAUGCAUGGGAAUUGAAGAGAUUCAUCAGUUAGAGCUCUCCACCAAUCAGUUGCAUAACAUUGUCGAGCACAUUUUGAAAGAAAUGUCACAAAGUCAUGAUAAUGGCAGGAGCCACUGUUCACUGCUCUCAUCAACCUACCUACCACUACUGGUUACCUGUUCCAGGAAUAAAACUAGAAUGGUUGCCAGAUAUAUAUCAGAGCAUAGCUCCAGUCAUGCCCCAUACCUAUUAUUACUAUUGUAUUAUGGUGAUCCAUCAGUUAGCUCAUUCCUAAAUCAUUCGAUUUACUCUGAGCCUUCGUCUUUCUCUCUUCCAUCCAAGAUGGACUCCUAUCUUCAUUACCUACUCACUGCAAUGACCAACGUGUCUUCGGAAAUUGAUUCUAAUGUCCGUAGAAUGACAGCUGCUAGUUUAUUGUGUCGACAGAUAUCAGUUGCCCACCCAUUACUGAUCUUAAGGCAUCUGCCUCUCCUUGGUUGCCUUUUGAAAGGCCGGACUCAUUUGAAUUCAAGAAAGUUCAGUUCUCAGCAUCAAAUUGUCUUCAAUAAUAUAUUCCACUUGCUUCAUUUGCUGAGGCCGCUAAUAUUCUCUAAGAGCGCUGAUCUCGAGUCUUGUUUGGAAUCUUUCAUGUCCUACUUGAAAGUGAGUGCCUCCAUGUAGCCCAGGCUACCAUGUAAUCCUAUACUACGGCAUGUCACCUGAAACUUCUUUGAUGGCCUCUGUGUUUGCCACAAGACCUUUGGGAUAGUAUUCAUUGUUCCUUUGUGUGAUUAUGGUUUCUAGUUACUUUUGAAGGUGUACUAGAUCAUCUUAGCUUUAACUUGUUGUAUUUCACACAGAACCAGUGCCUCAGUGCUUCGGUCCCACACAGUCUCUUUAAUAAAGUAUUGUCAUUUCUCACCGAGUACUGUCAGCAGUCGCGAGAUCAA
rnacentral:misc_RNA from 1 species